GGGGUCAUAGCUCAGUUGGUAGAGUGUUUGAAUGGCAUUCAAAAGGUCGGGGGUUCGAUUCCCCCUGGCUCCA
rnacentral:tRNA from 1 species